CCUACGGGGGGCAGCAGUGGGGAAUAUUGCGCAAUGGGCGAAAGCCUGACGCAGCGACGCCGCGUGAGGGAUGAAGGUCUUCGGAUCGUAAACCUCUGUCAGCAGGGAAGAACGGUCACUGUGCUAAUCAGCAGUGAAUUGACGGUACCUGCAAAGGAAGCACCGGCUAACUCCGUGCCAGCAGCCGCGGUAAUACGGAGGGUGCGUGCGUUAAUCGGAUUUACUGGGCUUAAAGCGCGCGUAGGCGGUAUGUCAAGUCAAGUGUGAAAUCCCGGCGCUCAACGUGGGAACUGCCUUUGAAACUGGCAGACUGGAGUGUGGGAGAGGUUAGUGGAAUUCGAGGUGUAGGAGUGAAAUCCGUAGAUAUCUGGAGGAACAUCAGUGGCGAAGGCGACUAACUGGCACAUAACUGACGCUGAGGAGCGAAAGCGUGGGUAGCAAACAGGAUUAGAUACCCUUGUAGUC
rnacentral:rRNA from 1 species